AUUGAACGCUGGCGGCAUGCUUUACACAUGCAAGUCGAACGGUAACAGGCCGCAAGGUGCUGACGAGUGGCGAACGGGUGAGUAAUGCAUCGGAACGUGCCCAGUCGUGGGGAUAACGCAGCGAAAGCUGUGCUAAUACCGCAUACGAUCUAUGGAUGAAAGCGGGGGACCGUAAGGCCUCGCGCGAUUGGAGCGGCCGAUGUCAGAUUAGGUAGUUGGUGGGGUAAAGGCCUACCAAGCCGACGAUCUGUAGCUGGUCUGAGAGGACGACCGGCCACACUGGGACUGAGACACGGCCCAGACUCCUACGGGAGGCAGCAGUGGGGAAUUUUGGACAAUGGGCGCAAGCCUGAUCCAGCAAUGCCGCGUGCAGGAAGAAGGCCUUCGGGUUGUAAACUGCUUUUGUACGGAACGAAACGGUCUGGGUUAAUACCCUGGGCUAAUGACGGUACCGUAAGAAUAAGCACCGGCUAACUACGUGCCAGCCGCCGCCGUAAUAC
rnacentral:rRNA from 1 species